UCAUGGUUAGCUCACUUGGUAGAGCGCUUCACUGGAAAUGGAGAGGUCCCUGGUGCGAUACCAGGAGCAGGGG
rfam:Ixodes scapularis strain Wikel colony gcontig_1107728586186, whole genome shotgun sequence.